AAGGCUUGACAUAUACAGGAAUAUGGCAGAGAUGUCAUAGCCGCAAGGUCUGUAUACAGGUGGUGCAUGGUUGUCGUCAGCUCGUGUCGUGAGAUGUUGGGUUAAGUCCCGCAACGAGCGCAACCCUCGUUCUGUGUUGCCAGCAUUUAGUUGGGGACUCACAGGAGACUGCCGGGGUUAACUCGGAGGAAGGUGGGGAUGACGUCAAAUCAUCAUGCCCCUUAUGUCUUGGGCUGCACGCAUGCUACAAUGGCUGGUACAAACGGCUGCGAUACCGCAAGGUGGAGCGAAUCCGAUAAAGCCAGUCUCAGUUCGGAUUGGGGUCUGCAACUCGACCCCAUGAAGUCGGAGUUGCUAGUAAUCGAGAUCAGCAACGCAC
rnacentral:rRNA from 1 species